rnacentral:rRNA from 1 species
AUGGUUCCCGUUUCUUCUCCGUUGACAACUCCACUAGGGGAUGCAGAAGAGACCAACAAAAAGGGAGCAGUAGUUAAGCGACUGAAAGUCCAAGCCAUCAAGAAGGAUAUCAAGCAGAGCCCCAAGAAGGUGAAUCUGGUAGCCAAGCUGGUUCGAGGAAUGCGUGUUGAAGAUGCCCUUUUGCAGCUGCAAGUGACAGUUAAAAGGGCAGCGAAAACUCUGUACCAGGUGAUCCAUUCUGCCCGUGCAAACGCAGCUCACAAUCACGGAUUGGAUUCUGAUAAACUUAUUGUGGAGGAGGCUUUUGUGGGGAAAGGACUUUACCUUAAGAGGCUGUCUUACCAUGCCAAAGGGAGGUGUGGCGUCAGGGAGAGGCCUAGGUGCAGACUGACGGUGGUGGUUAGAGAAGCAACGGCCGAGGAAGAGGCAAAGAUCGCUAAACUGAGAGUUAGCAACUACAAAAAGCUAACCCGGAAGGAGAAGCAGCUCAUGCCGCACCGGCUUAUUGAGGUUAGCCCCAGGUGGGCUUGGAAAAGGAAGGAGGAGACUGGUGCCGCAGUGUAG